GACGAACGCUGGCGGCGUGCUUAACACAUGCAAGUCGAACGUGAUUUUUGUGGAAAUUCUUUCGGGAAUGGAAAUGAAAUGAAAGUGGCGAACGGGUGAGUAACACGUGAGCAACCUACCUUACACAGGGGGAUAGCCGUUGGAAACGACGAUUAAUACCGCAUGAGACCACAGAAUCGCAUGAUAUAGGGGUCAAAGAUUUAUCGGUGUAAGAAGGGCUCGCGUCUGAUUAGCUAGUUGGAAGGGUAAAGGCCUACCAAGGCGACGAUCAGUAGCCGGUCUGAGAGGAUGAACGGCCACAUUGGAACUGAGACACGGUCCAAACUCCUACGGGAGGCAGCAGUGGGGAAUAUUGCACAAUGGGGGGAAACCCCUGAUGCAGCGACGCCGCGUGAAGCGAAAGAAAGGUUUUUCGAAUUCGUAAAGCUUC
rnacentral:rRNA from 1 species